UGAAGAAAUAUUUUACAAUUGAUUUGGUAAAUUUGUAUUGUGUCGUGCCUUUUUCCUUUAUAUAAUUGUGACUUUGGUGAGUAUUUUGAAAGAGAGAAAAAUAAAGGAAACAAACACACAGAUAGAGUGUUUGAGGAGAUGCUGAUAGAAGGCAGAGAGGGCCGAGAAUUGGUGAAUUGAUAAUCAUGUGAUUAAUUCUUUUACAGGUUUCAGGUACCGUGGAAUUCUAGUUGCGGCUUAGGUGGAAGAGUUGGUGUUAAGGAUUUAAUAUUUAUAGAGAAAAUUUUCUUGUAUUUUAUUUGAGGAUGUUGAUUUUGUAUCAAUAAAAUGAUUUUUUUUUUGA